CCUACGGGUGGCAGCAGUGAGGAAUAUUGGUCAAUGGGCGCGAGCCUGAACCAGCCAAGUCGCGUGAGGGAUGACGGUCCUAUGGAUUGUAAACCUCUUUUGUCGGGGAGCAAAAGACGCCACGCGUGGCGUUACGAGAGUACCCGAAGAAAAAACAUCGGCUAACUCCGUGCCAGCAGCCGCGGUAAUACGGAGGAUGCGAGCGUUUUCCGGAUUUAUUGGGUUUAAAGGGUGCGCAGGCGGAAGAUCAAGUCAGCGGUAAAAUUGAGGGGCUCAACCUCUUCGAGCCGUUGAAACUGGUGUUCUUGAGUGGGCGAGAAGUAUGCGGAAGGCGUGGUGUAGCGGUGAAAUGCAUAGAUAUCACGCAGAACUCCGAGUGCGAAGGCAGCAUACCGGCGCUCAACUGACGCUCAUGCACGAAAGUGUGGGUAUCGAACAGGAUUAGAUACCCUUGUAGUC
rnacentral:rRNA from 1 species